rnacentral:rRNA from 1 species
ACGAACGCUGGCGGCGUGCUUAACCCAUGCAAGUCACACGCUGAAGCUCAGCUUUUGUUGGGUGGAUGAGUGGCGAACGGGUGAGUAACACGUGAGUAACCUGCCCCCUUCUUUGGGAUAACGCCCGGAAACGGGUGCUAAUACUGGAUAUUCACUGGUCUUCGCAUGGGGGUUGGUGGAAAGGGUUUUUCUGGUGGGGGAUGGGCUCGCGGCCUAUCAGCUUGUUGGUGGGGUGAUGGCCUACCAAGGCUUUGACGGGUAGCCGGCCUGAGAGGGUGACCGGUCACAUUGGGACUGAGAUACGGCCCAGACUCCUACGGGAGGCAGCAGUGGGGAAUAUUGCACAAUGGGCGCAAGCCUGAUGCAGCGACGCCGCGUGAGGGAUGGAGGCCUUCGGGUUGUGAACCUCUUUCGCUCAUGGUCAAGCCGCAACAAUGGUUGUGGUGAGGGUAGUGGGUAAAGAAGCGCCGGCUAACUACGUG